rnacentral:rRNA from 1 species
AGUAGCUUGCUACUUUGCCGGCGAGCGGCGGACGGGUGAGUAAUGUCUGGGAAACUGCCUGAUGGAGGGGGAUAACUACUGGAAACGGUAGCUAAUACCGCAUGAUGUCGCAAGACCAAAGUGGGGGACCUUCGGGCCUCACGCCAUCGGAUGUGCCCAGAUGGGAUUAGCUAGUAGGUGAGGUAAUGGCUCACCUAGGCGACGAUCCCUAGCUGGUCUGAGAGGAUGACCAGCCACACUGGAACCGAGACACGGUCCAGACUCCUACGGGAGGCAGCAGUGGGGAAUAUUGCACAAUGGGCGCAAGCCUGAUGCAGCCAUGCCGCGUGUGUGAAGAAGGCCUUAGGGUUGUAAAGCACUUUCAGCGAGGAGGAAGGCGUUGUAGUUAAUAGCUGCAACGAUUGACGUUACUCGCAGAAGAAGCACCGGCUAACUCCGUGCCAGCAGCCGCGGUAAUACGGAGGGUGCAAGCGUUAAUCGGAAUUACUGGGCGUAAAGCGCACGCAGGCGGUUUGUUAAGUCAGAUGUGAAAUCCCCGAGCUUAACUUGGGAACUGCAUUUGAAACUGGCAAGCUAGAGUCUUGUAGAGGGGGGUAGAAUCCCAGGUGUAGCGGUGAAAUGCGUAGAGAUCUGGAGGAAUACCGGUGGCGAAGGCGGCCCCCUGGACAAAGACUGACGCUCAGGUGCGA